CACCGAGUUGGGUAAGUUACUACGGUUUCUUACCCAGAACUGCAUGCCACCAUAGGUUUGAGAUUUUGGCCUGUGUUCGAGAUGAUUGGGCCCGAUGCUGAGAUAAGUGAUCACUGAGUUAAGGUUAUACUCCUUGGCAAGAGUAUGAUGCCUCUCCCCAAUGUGAGAUUUCUUCCUUAGAAGGACAAGACGUUGGAAUCCAUGUAGCUCGCAUGGUUUAUGUAGGUUAAGAGAACCUCCCUAAACUAAAGUAUUUUUCAUUGAGAUAUUAUAUUUUCC
rnacentral:lncRNA from 1 species